UAAGCGGAGGAGAAGAAACUAACCAGGAUUUCCUUAGUAACGGCGAGCGAACCGGAAAGAGCCCAGCUUGAAAAUCGUGGUGCCUCGCACCUCGAGUUGUAGUCUGGAGAAGGUCCCUCUGCGGCGCGCCGGACCCAAGUUCCCUGGAAAGGGACGUCAUCGAGGGUGACAACCCCGUCCGCGCCCGGAACGCGUCGCUCCACGAGGACCUGUCUGCGAGUCGGGCUGUUUGGGAAUGCAGCCCUAAUCGGGAGGUAAAUUCCUUCUAAGGCUAAAUAUGGGCAAGAGACCGAUAGCGAACAAGUACCGCGAGGGAAAGAUGAAAAGGACUUUGAAAAGAGAGUUAAAAAGUGCUUGAAAUUGCUGGGAGGGAAGCGAAUGGAAGCUGCGGGUGUGCCCCGGUUGGAUGUGGAACGGCUUCGGCUGGUCCGCCGCUCAACGCGGGGCGCUGGUCAGCGUGGGCCGCGGCGCCGGGACAAGAGCGGGGAUUCGCUUCCCGCCUAUGCCGGUGCGGUGGCCGAGGAACGAAGCGCGCGCCCCUCGGGGCGUGGGUCCGCCCAACUGCGCGCUCGGGACGCUGGCGUAUUGAGCUCUUCAUCCGACCCGUCUUGAAACACGGACCAAGGAGUCUAACAUGUAUGCGAGCCGGUGGGCGGCAAACCCAUUGAGGCGCAAGUAAACUGACAGGUGGGACCCCGACCGCGAGGGAGGGAGCACCAUCGACCGACCGUGAUCUUCUGUGAAAGGUUUGAGUGUGAGCAUACCUGUUGGGACCCGAAAGAUGGUGAACUAUGCCUGAGCAGGGCGAAGCCAGAGGAAACUCUGGUGGAGGCUCGUAGCGAUACUGACGUGCAAAUCGUUCGUCAGACUUGGGUAUAGGGGCGAAAGACUAAUCGAACCAUCUAGUAGCUGGUUCCCUCCGAAGUUUCCCUCAGGAUAGCUGGAGCUCGUGUACAAGUUUUAUCAGGUAAAGCGAAUGAUUAGAGGCAUCGGGGGUGUAACACCCUCGACCUAUUCUCAAACUUUAAAUAGGUAAGCCGCCGGGGUUGCUUGGUUGAACCCCGGCACAGAAUGAGAGCUCCAAGUGGGCCAU
rnacentral:rRNA from 1 species